CCCCUUUGUAUCAUCAAAGCCUCAGUCCAAACAGCAUCUCCUGAUUGUACCAACUUUUUAAUCUAGAGCUAUGCUUCUUGAGGGCAAGUCUGUAUUUGAUUCAUCUUUCUACUCACAAGCCUUGCACAGUCCGAGGCACCAGGUACGCCCUCCAUAAAAAUUGCCUUCAAUAGAUGAGUGGCAGCUCUGUGAGAUGAGUCACUGCUGGUUUCCUUGCUUGGAUUAGGUCAGCCCUGCAGCCCAGCUGGAGCUCUUCAAUUACUCAAGGCAUGUGCCCAGGCGUGAGAAAUUCUGGCUCCCUGCUCAGCGUAGAUAACACCAUCGCUUAAGCUGCCUCUUUCCAAUUCGUUCCUCCCAAGUCUGUCUUCAAGAUAGAGGACACCAGAUCCUCAUCCUGGGCGCAUCAAUUCUAAACCAGGUAAAUCUUCUUAAUAUAAUGCUAUUGCAGCUCUGAGAAUCUGUGUUUUAAAUACAAACAAGCUACACCUGUGUUUGCAUCUUCAGCGCCUAUCGUGAUGGCAUAUCUGGCACCAGAGGAGUUAGUCUCUUCUAUGAGCGUACCAUAGAGACCCUCUGAGCCCCUCCCCUCCCUCUCUCCCAUGCUUUCUUGAGCCCACGCAGCCAGGCGCCUGUCCCACCACUCCACCUUGAGGAGGCCCUUUACCUGGGAAAGGAAAGGAGCCAUCAGCCACCAUCAUGAUUUGGAAGGAGAAGGGAAAGAAAGAGUGGAACCACCCUGCCUAAGAAGGUGGGGCGUAUUUAAGCAUAUUGUGUUGAGCGGAACAGUAAGAAGCCCCAAACUGGGGGAGAGGAGGCCUAGGAGAGAAGAGUCCCGAGAAGGGGACAGAAGCCGAAAUGAAUGGCAGGAAGCAAGACUGGCCAAUGGGCAACUUCCUGGAGUCAGGAAACGAUUUUUAAGACAGUCACCUUGAUAGAGCAACCUCGCACUGUCAUCUUCAUUGUCCUGUAAUGCCACGCCAUGACCCCAAGCAUGCAAACAAGCAUCGAUCGGCAGCCCAAUGUUAGUGGAACUUAUGGGAAUGGACAGACGCAGGACCAGAGCAGGGUGAGAGAGCUCGGAAAGAUGGGAACCACAGGAACAAAGGGAACAGCGAAGCCAGCUGCAUUCUGUGACCCUGUGAAAAAGUACUUUUGUUAAUGAGCAAAAAGACAUGUCAAUGAGAAACGUUUUUCUCUAAAUAUAAACUUCCAGCAACUUUUCUGUUGAAAUCAUUUCAGUAAGAACAGAAUAGCCCACUCCUACCUCAGGGAGCCGAGCCGUCUUGGACGCAGAGAAGGAGCCCGGAUUUGCAACCCAGCUGCAGAGCUUCAGAUAAGGGGUUUUUGGACGCUACAUUCUCCUGACCCUAUAGCUUCCAAGGAAACAGGACUCAGUCUGCCCCUCGGCCCAGGCUGGUGUUAAUUCCUUUAUACACAGCGCUAUUUGCUUUGAGGGCAUUAAAACACAGCUUCAUUUGAAUUUUAGCUGAAUCCCACCAUUUCCCCAAGUCCUGUAACAAGUUGGUGGCUUCCUGCGUCCGAUGAAGCACUCCCUGGUCCCCAGAGCACUGUCCCAUGCUGUAACAAGUCAGUACACCUCCUCGUGGACCACACAUUUGUCCCUGGGGAUCUCUGCCUUCCCUAUUUGAGACAUUCCAGGGAAGUGAUCCCUGGACGCAUGUGGGAAUAUUGUGGAAGGUGAGGGAUUCUCUCAGCACAAGAGAAAGGAAAGGUUGGCCCCAAAAGCUCUAAGAUUUAGGGUUCUCUGGUUUUAUGUAUAUAUAUGUGAAACAAAGGAAUGCAGCAUAGUAGGGAAUAACUGAGGAUUUUGCAGUCAGGCAGUCCUGGGUGAAAUGUCCAGCUCCGCCCCUCACUAGCUGCGCGUUACCCUACCUGGCUCAGCUUUUGUCAUCUUUAUUCUUGGGUGUUGUGAGUAUUCAAGGAGAUAAUGCUUGAGAAAUGCUUAUCAUAUGCCUGUCUCCUAUACUAGCCACUCAAUAAUGUUAACUACUCCUGGUGGGAAACUAGGAGUGGAUAUGAAUACGAAACGGAAAGAAUCAUGGGAAACUAAAGAUAUCAGCUCUCUUGAGGUGGUAGGAUUUGGCUCAUUUUCUUUGAUAUCCUAUAUUGCUUUCCUUUUCUUGUGACGUUUCCUUUGGCUCCUGGCAUCAGCCGGACCACAGGCCUGCUUCUUGUGAAGGGCUCUCCGACUCGGUUGACGGCAACUCUGUUCUUCCAGUUGAAAAUCCUGGAGACCUCCUUGAUCCUGUCUCUCCUGCCUUGCAUCUAAAGGAGUAAAGCUUAUUGGCUCUUCCUUCAAAACCCCAUCACCUGCCACCUUCACCUGUCCAUCCUGAUCCCUUCAACUAUCACCACUUGCCUUGGUUAUUGAAACUGCAUCCUAACUGGGCUUCCUGCCUCCCCCAUCAAUCCCCUACAGCAGCAGGCUCCACUCAGCAGCCAGGAAAACCCUUUUCAUAUGCAAAUCUGGCUGCCCCCUCCUCCCCUCAAAACCCUCCAAUGAUGCCCACCUCACCAAAAUCUUUACAAUAGCUUACGAGGUCCUAUACAAUCUGGCUCUGGUUACCUCUCUGAAUUUCUCUCGCACCCUCUCCUUUUCAUUACUCCACAGCAGCCACACUAGCUUCUUGGCUAUUCCUUGAAAUACCAACGGUGCUUUCACCUCAGGGCCUUUGCAUGUGCUGUUUCUUCUGCCUGGAGCACUCUUCCUCUACAUUUCCACAUGGCUCACUCCCUCACUUCCUUCAAGUCUACACCUGAGUGUCACUUUCUUGGAGAUGCCCCCUGACCACUGCAUGUGUGCACAUGCACAAACACACAUGCAUGCACAUAAAUGGCAAAUAUUUCCAAUCCCACCACACCCUGUCUCCCACACUCAAAUUUAUUUCCCCCAUAUCAUCUGUUGCCAUUGGACUCACAUCAUAUUGACCCUUCUGUGUGUUUAUUUCCUAGCCCUGCCACUAGAAAAUACGUUCCGCUUGAUCAGGAGCUUACUUUAGUCUGUUCACUACUGUGUCUCCAGCAUGUAGAACAAAGUUGGCAUAAAGUAGAUAUUCAAUUAAUAUUUUUAAUUGAACUGUAUGAAUGAAAUCAAAGGUUUUAAUAGGUUUUAAUUAAUUCCCAUGCACUCCUGAGCAGUAGAGACAAUAUCAUUUUUCCUUUUGAUCACAUGAAACAAACAAUAGAAAAAGAGUAAGUGACUUUCUCCCAGCCAUAUCAGGGCCAGGAACUUUUCACCUCCUGCUUGUAUAGAAAAGCAGAGGUCUCUGAAGAACCCCCAGAGGUCAUGGGCUCAGAAGUCUUUGUUCACACACACACACACACACACACGUACACCCUUGCAUAC
rnacentral:lncRNA from 1 species